AACGAACGCUGGCGGCAUGCCUAACACAUGCAAGUCGAACGAAGGCUUCGGCCUUAGUGGCGCGCGGGUGAGUAACGCGUGGGAACCUGCCCUUUGGUACGGAAUAACAUCGGGAAACUGAUGCUAAUACCGUAUAUGGCUUUGGCUGAAAGAUUUAUCGCCGAAGGAGGGGCCCGCGUCUGAUUAGCUAGUUGGUGAGGUAAUGGCUCACCAAGGCGACGAUCAGUAGCUGGUCUGAGAGGAUGAUCAGCCACACUGGGACUGAGACACGGCCCAGACUCCUACGGGAGGCAGCAGUGGGGAAUAUUGGACAAUGGGGGCAACCCUGAUCCAGCAAUGCCGCGUGAGUGAUGAAGGCCUUCGGGUCGUAAAGCUCUUUUGGCAGGGACGAUGAUGACGGUACCUGCAGAAUAAGCCCCGGCUAACUUCGUGCCAGCCGCCGCCGUAAAAC
rnacentral:rRNA from 1 species